rnacentral:tRNA from 1 species
UCCCUGGCAGUCCAGUGGUUGAGACUUCAGCUUCCAAUGCAGGGGGUGCAGGUUCGAUUCCUGGUCAGGGAA